CAAUAGCGUAUAUUAAAGUUGUUGCAGUUAAAAAGCUCGUAGUUGGAUUUCUGGUGGGAGCGAUCGGUCUGGCGCUUAGCGCGAGUACUUGCAUCGUCUCCGGCCAUCCUUGGGGAGAGUCUGUCUGGCAUUAGGUUGUCGGGCAGAGGAUCCUCAUCGUUUACUGUGAAAAAAUUAGAGUGUUCAAAGCAGGCUUAUGCCGUUGAAUAUAUUAGCAUGGAAUAAUAAGAUAGGACUUUGGUACUAUUUUGUUGGUUUGCGCACCAAAGUAAUGAUUAAUAGGGACAGUUGGGGGUAUUCGUAUUCCGUUGUCAGAGGUGAAAUUCUUGGAUUUACGGAAGACGAACUACUGCGAAAGCAUUUACCAAGGAUGUUUUCAUCAA
rnacentral:rRNA from 1 species